AUUACUAUUAGCACAUGCAUAGCAGCUCUUCCUUUCUACAAUUGAUGUGGCCUUUAUAUUACUUACACUUCCUCAACUUUUGGGAAGAAAAUUGGAUUCCAGAAGGGGAAAAGGAAGACACAUAAUAUAAAUUAAUUGUUUAGAUAACUCACCUCUCAACUUGUCAAGUCUCUGAUGUGAGAUCCAGUAUUAAACAAAGAGUCACACCGAAAGGCUUACACAGUAGAAGAGUUUAAAGUAAGGCCCUCUUUCCUUCAUCAGUCCAUCCUAUGAAUCCCAUAAUGACAGCACAUGGGGAAAUAUGAGAGUGAGAAAUAAAAAAGAAGACAGACAACAUUUUGUUUCUUGAGAAAGGGCCUGUGCCUUUAUCAACUCUUUGUUUUAGCUAAUGAGACCGGGAAAGGCAAAAACCACAAUAGUUUUAGGUGCAUGAAAGCAGACAGAAAUUGUGCUAUACUUUGUGGUUAUAAAAAACAGCAGAAAGAUUUACAGUGGUGACCAGUAGCGGCUUGGUAUGGCAACAGUAGAAAUGGACGGUAUUAAAGCAUGUCCAGACAAAGCUUCCAAGAGGAUUCCUGUGCCUCCAGCAGGGUAUACUUGGGCAUUCAGAAGUUCCCCGGCUUCCCUAAGAGGAGCUUGGCAGCCGCUGAGGAAGAGCCUGUAGUCCUGGAGAGGCUCCACGAUCAGUAACUGGAGACGGAAACGCCAUCGCAUUAGACAGGGAUGCAGAUAGAGCGGAGGAAUCAGAGCAGACUAUGACCACCAAGGAACCAGCACCUCUUUCCCAGACACCAUGGUAGUAGAUCAUACUUGCGGAUCUGAGACUCCACUGAAUUGAAAGGAAGAGGGAGGGCUUCCAUCUUGGCUGAGAAGACUGAAUUGGCUGGAUUUCUCCAGAAUUCAAAAAGAUGAUACUUUUUCUCUUUGGAGGAUCUUGUAAUAGAGAUUAACUUGAGAUAAUGUAAUAAGUGGGUACUCUUUUAACCUAAUUUAUUGAGAAAUUUAUGUUAGCUAUAAUUGAAAAUCAUUUCCUAACCCCUGCAUCUUUUAUAUAAAAAAUAGCUAUGGCCGGGCGCAGUGGCUCACGCCUGUAAUCCCAGCACUUUGGGAGGCCAAGGCGGGCAGAUCACACGGUCAAGAGAUGGAGACCAUCCUGGCCAACAUGGUGAAACCCCGUCUCUACCAAAAAUACAAAAA
ensembl:lncRNA Novel transcript